UGUCCCUUGCUUGUGUUCUCUCUCUCUUAAAUAAAUAAAACCUUAAAAAAAACAAAAGAAAAUCUUACUUCUUAAGUCAGUACUUUUGUAGCUUUUGAGUACUUUUGAGUACUUUUUGAGUACUUUUGAAGCUUUUUGUUUAAAUGUACAUUUCUAUGUUUGUACAUGUUUAUACUUUUUUUUCUUGGUUGUGAAUAUUUAUAUAUUUAAACAGGGUCACUGUAUGGACAUCAGUCUGCAACUUUCCUGCAACAUACAUAAUGGACAUCUUUCCAGCUGUUCAACUUUGUAAGAUGCACAGAGGUUGGAUCAAGUUUAAAUGACUGUGCUGCCCCUUUUCACAUCAAA